rnacentral:rRNA from 1 species
AGAGUUUGAUCAUGGCUCAGAACGAACGCUGGCGGCGUGGAUAAGACAUGCAAGUCGGACGAGAUUUUUCGUUGUAGCAAUACGAUGGAAAGUCUAGUGGCGAACGGGUGCUUAACACGUGGGCAAUCUGUCUUAAAGUGGGGGAUAGCUCGGCGAAAGCCGAAUUAAUACCGCAUGUGAUUAGAGUGGACAUCCAUUCGAAAUUAAAGUCGGGGCAACCUGACGCUUUUUGAGGAGCCCGCGGCCUAUCAGCUUGUUGGUGAGGUAACGGCUCACCAAGGCUUUGACGGGUAGCUGGUCUGAGAGGACGACCAGCCACACUGGGACUGAGACACGGCCCAGACACCUACGGGUGGCAGCAGUCGAGAAUUUUUCUCAAUGGGGGAAACCCUGAGGGAGCGACGCCGCGUGGAGGAUGAAGGUCUUCGGAUUGUAAACUCCUGUCAUUGGGGAACAAGUCGCUUACGUUAACUGCGUGAGCGUUGAUAGUACCCGAAGAGGAAGAGACGGCUAACUCUGUGCCAGCAGCCGCGGUAAUACAGAGGUCUCAAGCGUUGUUCGGAUUCAUUGGGCGUAAAGGGUGCGUAGGCGGCGCGGUAAGUCGGGUGUGAAAUCUUGGAGCUUAACUCCGAAACUGCAUUCGAUACUGCCGUGCUUGAGGACUGGAGAGGAGACUGGAAUUUACGGUGUAGCGGUGAAAUGCGUAGAUAUCGUAAGGAAGACCAGUGGCGAAGGCGGGUCUCUGGACAGUUCCUGACGCUGAGGCACGAAAGGUCAGGGGAGCAAACGGGAUUAGAUACCCCGGUAGUCCUGACAGUAAACGGUGCACGUUUGGUGUGGAGGAUUCGACCCCUUCUGCGCCGGAGCUAACGCGUUAAACGUGCGCCUGGGAGUACGGUCGCAGAUUAAAACUCAAAGAAAUUGACGGGGGUCGCA